rfam:Candidatus Magnetomorum sp. HK-1 HK1c0886, whole genome shotgun sequence.
CGUGCUUGCUACGCGCUGUGUAGUCGGUGCGAAGCCCCGCGGACAAUGUACCGAUGGUUUUAAUGGUAACAGGCGAACCAUUCGAAGAAUCCUAACUUCGAUAAGGGA